rnacentral:rRNA from 1 species
GCGGCGUGCUUAACACAUGCAAGUCGAACGAAGCACUCUAUUUGAUUUUCUUCGGAAAUGAAGAUUUUGUGACUGAGUGGCGGACGGGUGAGUAACGCGUGGGUAACCUGCCUCAUACAGGGGGAUAACAGUUGGAAACGACUGCUAAUACCGCAUAAGCGCACAGGACCGCAUGGUCCGGUGUGAAAAACUCCGGUGGUAUGGGAUGGACCCGCGUCUGAUUAGCCAGUUGGCAGGGUAACGGCCUACCAAAGCGACGAUCAGUAGCCGACCUGAGAGGGUGACCGGCCACAUUGGGACUGAGACACGGCCCAAACUCCUACGGGAGGCAGCAGUGGGGAAUAUUGCACAAUGGGGGAAACCCUGAUGCAGCGACGCCGCGUGAGCGAAGAAGUAUUUCGGUAUGUAAAGCUCUAUCAGCAGGGAAGAAGAAUGACGGUACCUGACUAAGAAGCACCGGCUAAAUACGUGCCAGCAGCCGCGGUAAUACGUAUGGUGCAAGCGUUAUCCGGAUUUACUGGGUGUAAAGGGAGCGCAGGCGGUGCGGCAAGUCUGAUGUGAAAGCCCGGGGCUCAACCCCGGUACUGCAUUGGAAACUGUCGUACUAGAGUGUCGGAGGGGUAAGUGGAAUUCCUAGUGUAGCGGUGAAAUGCGUAGAUAUUAGGAGGAACACCAGUGGCGAAGGCGGCUUACUGGACGAUAACUGACGCUGAGGCUCGAAGCGUGGGGAGCAAACAGG